CUUGGUCAUUUAGAGGAAGUAAAAGUCGUAACAAGGUCUCCGUUGGUGAACCAGCGGAGGGAUCAUUACAGAGUUGCAAAACUCCCUAAACCAUUGUGGACGCUACCUUUUAACGUUGCUUCGGCGGGCGGCCCGCUCCCCUGGAAAGCCCCUGUGGCCGCCCGGGGCUGCGAGCCCCCCGGCCCCCCUCGCGGGGGCGCCCGCCGGAGGAUACCCAACUCUUGAUUAUUUUAGGCCUCUCUGAGUCUUCUGUACUGAAUAAGUCAAAACUUUCAACAACGGAUCUCUUGGCUCUGGCACCGAUGAAGAACGCAGCGAAAUGCGAUAAGUAAUGUGAAUUGCAGAAUUCAGUGAAUCAUCGAAUCUUUGAACGCACAUUGCGCCCGCCAGUAUUCUGGCGGGCAUGCCUGUUCGAGCGUCAUUUCAACCAUCAAGCCCCAGGCUUGUGUUGGGGACCUCGCGGCUGGCCGCAGGCCCUGAAAUCCAGUGGCGGGUUCGCUGUCACCCCGAGCGUAGUAGCAAUAUCUCGCUCAGGGCGUGCUGCGGGCACCGGCCGUUAAAAGCUGCCUUCUGGCAACACCCAAGGUUGACCUCGGAUCAGGUAGGAAGACCCGCUGAACUUAAGCAUAUCAAUAAGCGGAGGA
rnacentral:rRNA from 1 species